CCUCUGCAAUGCAAGAUAAUAAUAUGGUUGCACAAUGUUUCUUGAGAUCAUUAGUAGCAUUAUUAACAUGAUGUGUAUUAAAAUUUCAUGCAAGUAUAAAUGUGUGUGGCUAUAAUAUAUGUAACCUAUGGAAAAACAAUAAAGGAUGGCUUACAUUGUCCCUGCAACCCGGGUGCUGAUGUGGGUUUUCUCGUCAUCAUAAAGCUUUGCCAAUCCAAAAUCUGAUAUUUUUGGGGAGAGUUCUGCAUCGAGCAAAAUAUUACUGGCCUUAACAUCUCGAUGUACAAUCCUUGGCCUUGACUCCUCGUGAAGGUAAGCAAGUCCUCUUGCUGUUCCCAACAAUAUAUUGAAUCGAGUAGGCCAGUCAAGGUGCAAGUUACUUGUCCCUGAAAUAUUUGUGAACACAUCUAAUCAAAAACAUUUUUAAGUAAUUUUAGAGUGCUUGAAACUACAGAAAAUGUUGUUUCUAUGUAACCUAAAAGUAGAUAGGUUUGUACCAAAAAGUGCCUGAUCAAGGCUCUUGUUUUCAAGAUACUCAUAAACCAAAAUGCGCUGGCUGCCUUCGAUGCAGCAUCCAUACAAUUUCACUAGAUUCCGAUGUUGCACUGCAGAUAUGGUAGCAAUUUCAGAUACAAAUUGACUCUUUCCUUGGUGAGAUGCUACUGAAAGUUGCUUCACAGCCACUAUUCUCCCAUCAGAAAGUGCACCCUACAAUGUACACAUAAACACAAUUUAGUGACAUGAAAGGAAAGAAAAAAGGAGCUAUAUUUUCCUCUCGCUUGCUCGCUCUUUCUCCCUUUCUCUUGUCAUUACUUCAAGUACAUGAUAUUGAUGUAAUACGGAUUUCACCUUAUAAACAGGGCCAUAUCCUCCCUCUCCUAGCUUAUUUGAAGUAUUAAAAUCUUCAGUUGCGGUUCUCAAUUCAGCAUAACUGAAAGUAUAUGGUCGGGGGCCUAAUCCUAGAAUAUCUGCACAUUCAUGAAACAGUUGACAUAAGUUUUACUUUCGUGAAAGCAUUCUUACUUCUGUGUGUUAAUAUUAGGGCAGCAAAACCUGAAUUGGGUACCAAUAAUGAUAUGGUCGUUUACCUUCAUCGUCUUCUUUUUCUGAUUUUUUCCUCCUCAUAUAUAGAAUUGCAAAUAUUAAUAGCAAGCUCACAACUCCAAUAGGAACUGCAAUACCGACUAUCAACCCAGUCUUGCUCUUCUUUCCUGGAGUAGUUGGUGGAAGCCCGGCAACUGUUGGUGUAAAAUCUGAGUAAUAAAACAGAUGAAUUCUUCAGUGUCAAUUAAUAGCAGAAAAAUACAUUUAAACCAAUCAUAGGAAAUCUCUAUAAGUAACACAUAUUAUACCUGAAGCAGCAUGGACAGCUGCUAUUAGCGGGCCGUAAUCACCUUGUUCGGGUAUGCAACAAGUCCCUUUACCAGCCCAGAACAGAUGAAUUUCAAGAUAAUUCUCUGACACGUUAACAUUAAAUUUUCUCACAAUUGCUCGGUUAACACCACCUGCCGCCGACGAUAUGUCCAAGUCCUUCGUCAUGCGGGUACCCUAGCAACCAAAUGAACAGGUAGGUGAUAAUUCUAGUCUCCUUUAAAUCAUUGUAGCUUAAAACAUAGAAAACCUGUCCAAUGAGUGUUUACUUCAAAUAAGUCAGAAUUUUUAUUCUAUAAGCAGCCUUACCUGAAUAUAGAUAUCAAAUACACGCCGUCCUAGACUUUGCCAUUUUUGCGAAGUGCGACUUUCAUAAACCGUCUCUGCAAAGUGCAAUGUUACAGUGUAAGGCCCAUUCUCAAGGCUCAGGCCAUAGUAUCUCAGUGAUCCUGGGGACACUCUUGAAGUCUGGAAAAGCUCCGGGGUCACAUCCGUUCCGGUGACUUGUGCAAGGGUAUUUUCCAGAAACGACGGGUCCUUUCUGUCAGAAAACAAACCGGCAUUGCUGACAGCCCAUUUCUCUGUACUAGUUACAUUGAAUGUUGCUGCGCCAAGAGCUGAGUCUUCAGUCUCAUACAAUAUGCCAUCACUUCCCGUCAUUUGUUUUCCACCACAGUUGAUUGAGAAGUUUGCAUCUGUAAAGUUUCAUGUAAUACCAGAAGCCAGCCAUGAUUAGCGAUGAAACGUCAAAUUGAAGACUCAUGCUAAUGUUCAUCAGUCACAUAUUUCUAACCAGUUAUGCGUAUUACUGAACUGAUGAAAACAUGCUUGCAAUCUAUAUCCAUAUGUAUACAUAACUAGAGAAGCAAUGCCUUUUCCUCUAACAUGACGAUGCGUUAAAAUAGUAAAUGAUUGAGAAGUUUGCAUCUGUAAGUUUCAUGUAUUACCAGAAUCUACCCAUGAUUAGCGAUGAAACUUCAAAUUGAAGACUCAUACUAAUGUUUUUCAGUCACAUAUUUCUGACCAGUUAUGCUUAUUUCUGAACUUAUGAAAACAUGCUGGCAAUCUAUAUCCAUAUGUAUACAUAACUAGAGAAGCAAUGCCUUCUCUAACAUGACGUUGAGUUAAAACAGUAAAUGUUGGGUGACAUAAAAGCAGAUUACAUCGUGGGGCAUUUCGAUUGCAUGGAAAAUUUCUCUGGAGGCAAUCCAAUCCAGGAAGACUGCAAACACAGAACAAUUAUUAGUUAUCCAAAUAGAAACAUGUAGUGGAAGAGUAGUGAUAGUAUUGCUUGUCUAAAAACAAGUAAGAGAAACUUCAACUCACGUUAUGUUUGAACUGUCAAAUGUGAAGUUGUUGACCACUAAGUUCCUGCAUAAAAUCAUUAAUCAAUCACCAUAUGAAGAAAUAUAUCUUUAUCAAAUGAAAAUUCCAUGUACAAGAUCAAAAAUUAGUAGGCAAGUAGCACUGUGAAAACGAAUCUCAACGAUAAUUUUUUGUCCGAACAUAUUCUGUUGAUUUAAACUGUAAAAUGAAGGUGAAAGAUAAAAGGACACGUACAGUUGCGAUAUUGUGGUCACCCACUGGGGAAAGCUUCCUGAUAAAAAAUUGUAAGACAAAUCUCUGCAAAUAACAAAAUAGAAUCAGAAGGCACAAAAUGCAUGAAAGUUAUUAAGAACUUGUGUAAGAUAGGAUUAGAAUGCUUACAAUUAUACACAAACACACACAUGCACCGUGCAUUCUAUAUGACUACUUUAAGAAAUGAGGACUUACAUAGUCUCAAGUUGAUUGCUCUUUUGGCUUGGAAGAGGUCCGGACAGACUAUUGUUUCCAAGAAACCUGGCCAUUUCGAUUAUAGCAGAAGGCACCCAGAAAAGAAAAAGAGAUGAACAAACAAAAGGUCAGAUGUGCACAAAAUCUAGAAGGAUUAGUCCAGAUAUUCAAUCAAAGUAGGGAAUGUUAAAGAUUUGAUAACUUAUGUAUGAUAAGGCAAGAAAAAGAUAAUAAUAAAGAUGGGGAUUACAAGGAUGUAAGAGAACUCAAGUUGAACAAAGAACUUGGGAGUUGGCCUGUCAAAUUGUUGAAACUCAGAUCCCUGCACACCAACGAUAAGUUGAGAGGAGGAAUCAGAAUGCAAGAAAACUAAUUGGUCUCGUUGGGACUCAAGCUUAUAUUUGCUGGUACGUACAGUGUCUGUAGACUUUGAUAUUCUCCAAUAUCAGAUGGGAUGGUACCAGUGAUUAAUGCGUUUCGCAGUUUUCUAUACUCCAAAAACAUAAAAUUUGAUAAAAGUAGAUGGAGUAAGAUAUCACAUUUCAAAAGGAAAAAGAAGUUAGAUGAAAGUAUCUUGAUCGAUGAGAAUCUUCACUUACAAUUCAGUCAAGCUUUUCAGAUUUUUUAUGAAAUCAAGAGAGGAGCUCCCAUUGUAUAUAUCACUGAUUCGCCUACAUCAUUAUAUGCAAAAUAAACUGAAAUCCUGUCUUCGGAGAAAGAGAGAGAAUUACAAUUUAUGAAACAUUUGUACUUACAGAGAGGUCAAUGAGGUCAGCUGAGAAAAGCUGGUUGGUAUUGGGCCUUCGAAAGAGUUCCCUUGAAAUCGCCUACAGAAACAUAUAAGAAGCUUGUCAACUAAGUAUCCAUCUCAGGUCUGCUUUCAUAAACUGCAUAAGAUCAAAAUUUUAUGUGGCUUACAAAGAAGUGAGUUGUGUCCAAUUCCCUAUGAAAUCAGGUGUCUUUCCUGAGAAAAGACUGUCCGAUGCCCAACUAAAAUUCAAAAAGUUGACUUAUAAUAAGCUCAUCCAAGAAAAGCAAUAUCAAAGUACUAGAUAAACGAACAAAUCUAAAAUACGAUUUAAGAGCCGUUCUUACAGGGUUUGCAUGUUGGUGAGCUUGGCGAAUGUUGAAGGAAUUUCACCACUGAGUCCACAGCUGUCCAUGUAACUGUGAAAAUCAUAAGGCAACUGAUUUGUUAGGAAUGUCGGUACUACAAGAUAGAGAAUGCACAAGGUAAAGUAGAAAAUGGACGCCAAGAAUUUAUGUGGUUCGGCAAUUUAUGCCUACGUCCACCAAACAAGGAAUCUUCACUAUAUGAAAAAAGAUGAAUACAACAAGAGUAGUCUUACCAAGCCAAAGACAAGGCUUGAUGGAUACAAGAAAGUAUAACACACACUUUCUAUCACUCUAAACUUCACUCACACAAUGUGUAGUGGAACACUCUCACUCUCACUCUUGGAGUGGAACUCUAGCUUUGGACUUGAUCCUUUGCUACUCACUCUUUCUUGAUUUGUUGUUUCACUACAACAUCACACCCAUAUUUAUAGGUGAGGGUUUGGCAUUCUACUAGUUUCUAGUGUAUUCUUCAAACCUCUAGCAUAGAAAGAUCUAGACUAGCCACAAAAGUGUGGCUUCUAGAUCUUUCCAUUUGCAACCAAGGAAGCUAGUACUCUCUAGCUUCUUCCAUCAACUUAAUAACAUGCUAGAAUUGUCUAGCAUGCUCCAGCCAUCUCUCUUGCUUACUAGAAUAAUCUAGAACAUUGAUCAUGGGCUGGACCAUAUACCAACAAUCUCCCCCUCCAGUCCAUGAGGAAGGAAUUCCGAUCAUGACUGCAAGUUACCUGGAGUCCAUCCCAGCAGCCUUAAUGCAGAAUUCCAACUUUGAUUUUGUGACCACCUUUGUCAACAUGUCUGAAGAAUUAUUAUCGGUAUGAAUCUUCUUCAGCUGUAGCAUCUUGUUCUCGAUAGCAUCUCUAAUCCAGUGAUAACGAAUAUCAAUGUGCUUGGUGCGUGAAUGGUAUGCAGUGUUUUUGCUCAAAUCCAGAGCACUCUGACUAUCACAAUAAACGCCAUAAUCACUUUGUUUCAAACCCAACUCUUGGAGAAACCGCUUCAGCCACAACAACUCCUUGCAUGCUUCUGUAGCGGCUAUGUAUUCAGCCUCGGUUGUAGACAAAGCAAUGCACUUUUGUAACUUGGAUUGCCAAGACACGACUCCCCCUGCAAAAGUAAACAAGUACCCAGACGUAGAUUUUCUACCAUCCAGGUCACCUCCCAUGUCAGCAUUUGUAAAUCCUUCCAAGAUUGGUUUGGAACCGCCAAAGCACAAGCACAUCUUAAAAGUCCCCUUCAAAUAUCUGAGAAUCCACUUAACAGCUUCCCAGUGGUCCUUCCCUGGAUUAGAGAGAAACCUGCUCACCACACCUACUGCAUGAGCAAUAUCUGGCCGUGUGCACACCAUUGCAUACAUGAUACUUCCUACUGCUGAAGAGUAGGGAACAACUGCCAUUUUCUCAUUUUCUUCAUAUGUUUUUGGACACGACUCUUUGCUCAACUUGAUAUGAUUGGCUAAAGGUGAGCUUACCGAUUUGGCUGUUUUCAUGUUGAACCUUUCAAGCACCCGUUCAACAUACUUUUCUUGUGACAGCCACAACUUCUUGGAUUUUCUGUCACGAAUUAUCUCCAUGCCCAAAAUCUGCUUGGCUGGCCCUAAGUCCUUCAUGUCAAAGGACUUAGAUAACUCUUUUCUUUGAGCUUUUUAAUCAUAAAAGCAUCUUGACCGACAAUCAACAUGUCAUCAACAUAAAGCAACAAAAUGAUGAAUUUACCUCCAGAAAAUUGUUUGAUAUAGACACAAGAGUCAGCAUGAGUUCUCUUGUACCCAUUACUCACCCAUGAAUGAGUUGAACUUCUUAUUCCACUGUCUCGGAGCCUGCUUAAGACCAUAUAAACUUUUCUUGAGCUUGCACACCAAAUUUUCUUUACCUUUGACUUCAAAGCCUUUGGGUUGCUCCAUGUAUAUCUCCUCUUCUAAAUUGCCGUGGAGAAAUGCAGUUUUAACAUCUAACUGCUCGAGCUCAAGAUCUAUGCUUGCUGCCAUACCAAGGAUAACUCGAAUGGAAGUCAUCUUCACCACCGGUGAGAAAAUCUCAUCAAAGUCAACUCCUUUCUUUUGACCAAAACCUUUGACAACCAAACGAGCCUUGUACCUUGUCAUGUUGUCGUCUCUUUUCAAUUUGAACACCCACUUGUUUUUCAAUGCUUUCCUGCCCUUUGGAAGCUCCACCAGCUCAUAGGUAUCAUUCUUUGAUAAGGAAUCCAUCUCCGACUCCAUUGCCUUCAUCCAUUUGUCACUGUCGUUAUGAGCUCUGGCCUCCUCAUAUGUUUCGGGCUCUCCAUAAUUAGUCAACAUGAUAUACUCUGAUGAAGAAUACUUGGUAGACGGUCUUCGACUUCUGAUGGAUCUUCUGACCUGAUCUUCAUUCUCUUGUAGGGCUGGAGGCUCCCCCUGAUUGGGUUCUCCUUGAAUCUGCUCUUCUUGACUAGGCUCCCCCUGAUCAGCAAUCUCAUGGUCUGGCACAUCUUGAUCAGGCUCCUCUUGAUUAGCAUUAUCUGAUUCUGCAGGCACUUCAUUGGCAGUUGCUUCAGGGAUGUCAUCGUGACUUUCUUCAUCUGAAGCUAAUGGAUCAACUCCUCUGACUGCGCCAUCUGGUUGUGCCUCUUUAUCCGAAUCCCCAAUUGUUUGUUCUUCAUAAAAGACCACGUCUCUACUUCGGAUAAACUUCUUCUGGUAUGGGUCCCAUAAUCUGUAACCAAAAUCUUCACCGCCAUAACCAAGAAAGAUGCACGGUGUAGCUUUGUAGUCUAACUUCGAUCUCUGCUCUUUGGGCACAUGCACAAAAGCUUUGCAGCCAAACACCUUCAGAUGAGAGUAAGACACAUCAUUACCAGUCCAUACUCUCUCUGGAACAUCAAGACCUAAUGGUACUGAUGGAGAUCGGUUGAUCAAAUAGCAGGCUGUCCUUACAGCUUCACCCCAGAACUGCUUAGAUAACUUUGCAGUCCUCAACAUACACCUGACUUUCUCCAUGAUGGUUCGGUUCAUUCUUUUCAGCAACACCGUUAUGUUGUGGAGUUCCAGGAACUGUCUUCUCAUGACGUAUGCCAUGUUUUACACAAUACUCUCUAAACUGGUGAGAUGUGUACUCGCCGCCGUUGUCGCUACGAAGGCACUUGAGAGGUUUCCCAGUUUCCCUCUCCACCAUGGCAUGGAACUCCUGGAAUGUCUGAAACACCUGGUCUUUGGAUUUCAACAAAUACACCCACACCCUUCGUGAAGCAUCAUCAAUAUAAGUAACAAAAUAUUUAUUUCUUCCAAGUGACUCGACUUCCAUGGGACCACACACAUCUGAAUAAACAAGAUCUAACAAGUUUCCUUUCUUUGUAGAUGGAACAGAAAAAACUAACUCUUCUUUUGUUUUCCGAAUAAACAAUGCUCACAAGAGUUUAACGACGUACCUUCGGUAAAGGGAAUGUGAGACUUAUUUGCCAAAACUUGUAGGCCUUUCUCGCUUAUGUGGCCUAGCCUCUUUAUGCCAUAAGUCUAGAGAUGAGUCCUCCACAGCAUUCAACUCACCUUUCAAAACCUUGGCAUUUGACCGGUACAACGUACAACAAAGUCGUGCUCUUGCUACCACCAUUAAGCCUUUAGUAAGCUUCAAUUUUCCUUCGCCAAUAUGGUGAUAAUAUCCUUGUCGAUCAAGGGUACCGAUGGAUAUCAGAUUGAGACGUAUAUCAGGAAUAUGUCUCACAUCUUUCAACAUCAAUUGGCAGCCGAGAUUAGUUCUUAGACAUAUAUCACCAAUUCCAAGAAUUUUGGAAUAGCUUUCAUUCCCCAUCUUCACUAUGCCAAAGUCACCUUCUUUGUAUGUACUGAAGAACUCCCGUUUGGACGUAGCAUGGAAGGAAGCUCCAUUGUCAAAGAUCCAUUCAAUGUCUCUGUCAGAGUUGCCCAUAUGCAGACAUUCACCAACAGACAAUAUUUCUGGUACAUCACCACAUAUGACAGCAGUGGUAUUGCCAGUAUCAUCUUUCUUCUGAUUGUUUCCUUCCCUUUGCUCUCUCUUCCAAACUCGACAAUUUUUCUUCAUAUGGCCUUCUUUGCCACAGUGGUGGCAUGCACCCCUGAACUUUGACUUGGAUCGGCUAGGACUCCUGCCAUGACCUCUAGGCCCUCUACUUUUGCUUCUUCCGCGGUUCUCUGUGACAAAUACUUGGCUGCUAUCUGUGCCAGAAGUCUUUCUCCUUGUUUCUUCAUUGAGCAUGCUAUUUUUAACAUUAUCAAGAGUAAGAAACACCAUUAGAAGCAGAGUUACUUAUACUCACCACAAAGGUCUCCCAACUGUCUGGCAAGGAUCCAAGUAACAAGAGCGCUUGUAGCUCGUCCUCGAUCGUCAUUUUCAUAUAGUAGCCAACUGGUUGAUGAUAUUCUGGAAAUUGUUCAAGUGUUCUGCUACACUUAAACCAUCCUUGUACUUCACAUUGAUGAGCUCUUUGAUCAAGAAGGCUUUCUUGGCUGGGGUCUUCUUCUCGAACAAGGACUCAAGCUUCGUCCAAAACUCGCGAGCAUUGGUUUCAUUAGACACAUGGUGAAAAACACUAUCAUCCACCCAUUGUCUAAUUGUGCCAAUAGCCUUGCGAUUCAUCUUCUUCCACUCGGCAUCGGACAUGCUCUCGGGCUUAGCGGCAUCUCCUUCAAUUGGCUCAUGCAAAUCCUUGCAAUAGAGAAUGUCCUCCAUCCUUGGCUUCCAUGUUACCCAAUUGGAGUUGGUGAGUUUGAUCAUAGUGCCACUUCCUUCCAUCUCGUAGUACGAGCCAACCGGGCUCUGAUACCACUUGUUAGGAAUGUCGGUACUACAAGAUAGAGAAUGCACAAGGUAAAGUAGAAAAUGGACGCCAAGAAUUUAUGUGGUUCGGCAAUUUAUGCCUACGUCCACCAAACAAGGAAUCUUCACUAUAUGAAAAAAGAUGAAUACAACAAGAGUAGUCUUACCAAGCCAAAGACAAGGCUUGAUGGAUACAAGAAAGUAUAACACACACUUUCUAUCACUCUAAACUUCACUCACACAAUGUGUAGUGGAACACUCUCACUCUCACUCUUGGAGUGGAACUCUAGCUUUGGACUUAAUCCUUUGCUACUCACUCUUUCUUGAUUUGUUGUUUCACUACAACAUCACACCCAUAUUUAUAGGUGAGGGUUUGGCAUUCUACUAGUUUCUAGUGUAUUCUUCAAACCUCUAGCAUAGAAAGAUCUAGACUAGCCACAAAAGUGUGGCUUCUAGAUCUUUCCAUUUGCAACCAAGGAAGCUAGUACUCUCUAGCUUCUUCCAUCAACUUAAUAACAUGCUAGAAUUGUCUAGCAUGCUCCAGCCAUCUCUCUUGCUUACUAGAAUAAUCUAGAACAUUGAUCAUGGGCUGGACCAUAUACCAACAUGAUUAAUACCCAUUUCAUACGAUAAAGUGCAAUUUUUGCUCAUCCGUAACGAAUUAACAUGUAAUUCAAAUUUGAUGAUUUAACGAAGCACUUACAUUUGCUCGAGCUUGACUAAAUUACCAAGUUCUGGAGGGAGUGUUCCGGAGAAAUUAUUUGAUCCGAUGCCCCUGCAAGUCAUGUUGAAUAGGCAAACACUUACUUGAAAGCAAUUAUUGAAGAGUGAUAGAAGGUUCUGUAUCUAAUGUUUACGACACAAAAUUUUAUUGUAUGCUCUCUCAUUUUUAUGGCUUACAGCAGAGUUAGCUCCGUAAGGUUUCCAAGCUCCUUGGGGAUGGGUCCAGAGAAUGAAUUGAUGCCAACUGACCUGAAUGGAGAUAUCAGUUAGUGAAAGAUAAGCAUCAUUAAACUUAAUUACAUACAUAACAGGAAACUAGUACUGCAUUAUUCAAUAAAAGCAUAAUGAUUUUUUGUAGAUUACGGCACAAAAAGUAGCGAAAAGGUGUAAAGAACAUAACUGUAGAUUAUGAUAUUCAAAAUGAAGUACAAAUUGCUACGGGUCUCAUCAGAAGUAUGAGUACUUAAAGAAAUGUUCUCUCACUACUUACAAUUCAGUCAAUGCAGACAUAUUGCCAAUGAAUGCUGGUAGGGGACCGGUGAAAUAAUUCUGAUCGAUUUUCCUACAAAAAUUGAAAGGAAGUAUAAUUGUUAACUCUUAAUCUUAUAACAUCACCAUAUUUUUGUUGAAAUCUCACAUCAGCUAGAGAAAUAAAGAAAGAAGAGUUUAAAUAUCCAAAUCUCAUUCCAACUAAUACCGAGACCUUUUGGAAUAAACCUCACACUUAACGGAUUGUGCAAGUGGUACCAAGUUAGGGACAAUAUCUGUGUUGUUGGAAGUGAGCCUUUUGCUCGUCUCUCCGAUAAUUCUACAAUUUUUGAUAUCCAAUAUAUGAUUUUGAUGAACCAAAAACAGAGAAGGGAGUUGGAAAAAAUUCAUACAAAGAUGUGAGAUAUCUCAGAGCCACAAAUUCUUCUGGAAACACCCCUCGUUUGUUCAGAGCAUACACUCUCCUGGAAAGCAAAAAGAUUGAACAUUUAGAACUACAUAAAAUGGAGCGACACAGUCAAAUUAUGACGUUAAAAUAUAUAGGUAGCAAGUGAAAAAUCAGCAGUGGCAUGGAAAUCUUGUUCAUAAAGAGUAGUUUAACAUACAGUUUGGUGAUGUGGCAUGUAGCAUUGUUGUCGUAAGAACAGUCGCAAACGAUGGCUGGGUUGUUACUGGGGUCCCCAAAGUCGGUGCCGUUGAUGGCAGAUCCACUGCAGGGUUCUCCACUGAUAUUCCACAGCCCCGGCACUGCUUGUGUGUCCCAUUGUUCAAAUAUUGAGUUCAACGCCCUCACUGCACUCUCAGUUAAUUCAGUCCUUGUGUGUAUUAGAUUAUAUCACACCAUAAUUUGAUUUGUGUUACCACUUACCAGACUAUCUCGAACCAAACGAAAGAUCAAAUUGAUUAUUACAAAGGAAAAUUACCCUUAAUUUUUGGAUGUUUUGUAUAUGGGAUGAAAAAGGGCCUUACAAUAAUUUCUUCGAAACUUCGUUUCAUAUAGUCGAAAAACACUUAAAAUGUCAAUUUGUUGAGGGAAAAAAAAGCCCAGUUCCUGGUCAGAAACACUUAAAUGUGGCAAAGUGUGUGUGUAGGGAGAGAGAGAGAGAGAGAGAGAGAGAACCUUCAGAUGGAUCGGUGGUAGCAUUUUGAGCAAAUGACAGCUGAAACCAGAAGUAGCUGAGGAAGUAGAGUAAUAGUAUCCUCAUCAUCAACUUCAUCUUCAUAUUGUACAUGUGCAGAACUUGCUCUCCUCGACGGCGUGAAUUUAAACGACCAACACUUACAUUCCGACUGGCUGAAUCAUGCACCGCAUGUAAGUAGAAGAAGACCAUUAGAUUUUAGUCAUAUAUUGACAACAUAUACAUAUAUAAUAUAUUUUGUCCAAGUUGCAUGAUCAAAUGGCGGCCACUUUAAUAAUUUCCCACCUGGAGUAGGCCAAGACUUUGAUCAUAUUAGUUGAAUUGUAUACUGUAAUAUUACACAUUGAGCUGCUUUAGUAUUGAAAUAUUUAUGUACAAUUUUAGAUUGUUAAUAUUUUUGUGGUUGAAAAAUCAAGGAAUUGACUUAUGGAUUUACAUUCUUGCUCAGUUGGUAAUUAUGGAGAGGGAUUUUUCUGGAUAGCGAAAGAACAAAGGAUUAAUUCUUUGUUAGUUGGUGAUUUUGAUAUGACAUCAACCGAGGAUGUCAUUGUGACAAUUCUUAAGCUAAUCACAUUAUUAUGUUUGACAAAACACAUGACACACUAUUUGAUUAGUUUUUUAUUUCUUUCUAAAAAGAUAGGCAACUAAUGACAAACCACGAUUAUUCACCUUUUUUGGGCUAGAAAUAGGCUAAUUAGAAAUUGUACACACAUUACAAAGUAUCGAACUCAGGAUUUUCACAAUUAGCUUAAAAUAUUGCUAAAAUUGCAUGUAUGUUGUUAGUUUGUCCAGUAAAAGAAUAAUAUUUCAUUCAUAAUUUUACGUAUAAAUAAAACGAUAAAAUGAAUUUUUGAUAAGUGGACAUGGAUUUUUUCAAAGAAAAACAAAGGUGGGAUUUUCAAAAAAAAAAGAAAAGAAAAAUCUCUGGUGGAAUUUUCAAAAGUUGUGGCUGAAUUGAAAAUUCAAUCGGGAUGAAAAUAUCUGCAAGUUGAGUUGAAUGGAAAAGGAUAUUUGCCGGAUCAUUUUCUUGAAAAUGCGGAAGAUCUUGUGAUUGUAUCUGUUUAUCGUACCUCGUGCGAUAAGUUUUUGUUAAAUAUUAUUUAUAUUUAAUUUUAAAUUUUAAAUUUUAAAUAAUUUCUGACCGCAUAAUGUACGAUUAACAGACAUGAUCGUAAUAUCUUUCGGAUCCCCAGAAGAAGAAUCCGGGAUCCUUUUCCGAAUUGAAUGAUGCAGCCAGAAAAGUCAAAAGAGGAUAUGUCUGGAUGGAUUAGAAUCAUCUCCGGAACAAUUACAUCCGUCCUAAUCCGUUUUUGAUUGAUGACAGAAAGUCAAACUGCCACGUAUGAACCCAUCACCAUCCCACCCACCUUGGCUUAAUUAUUCUGAUGCCUUGUUCUUAAAACAAAAGGAGGUAGGCGAUGAAUUGCUGUACUGACGUUAUAAUGGAAGGGGUGUGCUAUCCACACACUCAUUUUUAUUUCUCACACACCUCUUGUUAAUUUUAUUUCUGUUAAUCUUCUUUAUUUCAUCUGAUCCGACGGCCGAAAAUUAAAAGAGAUGUGAGGAGUAAAAAAGGGUGUAUGGAUAUUACACCCUUAAUGGAAUCGGUAUUUAAUUAAUCAUUUUAUUGGCAUUAAUUAUGUACUUAAUUAAAAGUAUGUAUAACUUAGUUGAUGCAAUGAACUAUCAUAGGAUUAUACUUUUAGUCCAAAAAGACCGCUCAAACCGAUAGGACUAUACGCUUUAAUGAGAGUUGGAAGAGAACAUCUAACGUAUGUAGUAUUAUCCUAAUUUUAUAAAGAAAUUAUUUCUAGGACUUAAACUUGUGAUUUUUUUGGAUCACAAAUGAACAACAUUUCCAUUACGCCAAAAUUCACCUUCAAUUGUAGCUUUAAUCUAUAAACAAAAUAUGGAACACUGGUUAUUGACGCUAAUUCCUUGAGGAUUCUGAUUAAAAGGACCAUAUGGGCAAUUCACUAAUUUACUGUUCUUAAAGGUACUCCUCGGAUUUUGGCCAAAAAUUCUUAUAGAGUUAGCGUGAAGGACUAAUGUUUCACAUUUAUCGAACUCAUAAACUACUUUUAAUAGAUCCUUAAUUUGUAGACUAAAAUUACAAUUUAGUCAUAAUUCACCAACCAAUACUGUGAUUUUCUCCUUUAUAAUGUUUGGGGAAAAUACUGUUCAUAUCAAUUAUCAAAGACUCAUACUCAUCCUCGCAAUCGUAUCAAUAAGUAAAGGGUAAUGCUAUUUUGCUAUUUAUUUUCUUUAAUUCAUUUUAUCCGAAGAUAAGAAAUUAAGAAAAAUGUAUAAAAAGUAAAAAUAAGUAUGUGAAUAGCAUCAUCUUAAAUUUAUCUCUCUUAGCAUAAAAUAAAAGAAAAACUAAUGAAAAGAACUUGAAAACUUUGAGUUUUAAUCAAAAUGACAAAAAGGCAAAAAGAUGUUGUAAGUGAAUAGUACUAGAAGUGACUUUUUUAGAGUAAAAAUGUCAUUUUUUGUUAAAGUAAACAGUACUAAAAGUGUUUUGUUAAAACAUAGUAAAAUAAAACUUAUAGUUUUUAUUAACCAAUUAGACAAAUUGGGUAGGAAAAGGAAGGAAUACACAUAUUCUGCCAAGUUACAUUGGUGUAAAAACACGUAGCUUGCACAUGCAGUACGAUCAAGUUGCGGCCCAAGUUGAUGAGUUUUCCAUAAAGUUAAAUGAGUUUGAUCAUGGAUAAUAUAUUAAAUAUAUAAAGAAUUAUUAAAUAUUGCCAAACAACAGCAGUGUUUUAAAUUUUUUUAAACUAAGCAAACAGACAGGGAAAUGUAAAAAUUAAGUUCCUAUAUUUAUUUUUCCUACUUUAUUAAUUAAAAUUUUAUUAAUUUUUAAUUUUUAAUCAAAAUUCUUAAAUUUUAAUAAAUGUUAUUAAUUAUUUUAAACGUUACAUUUGGUAUAUUUGUGCCCAUGCUAAUUAUAUGUAUUUAUUUUAUGUUUUAAAAUAUAUCAAGAGUUAUUUUUCAAAAUAUGUUAAUAAUUAUGUGGGUACAUUAUUUUUUGCUAUAAUUUUUGUGAAGAACAAUAUUACUCUAAAAAAAAAUUUUAAGUAUAUUUUAAAAAUAUUAUUUAAAUUUGUUUAAAUUUCAUAAUUUGUGGAACAUUAAAUACAUAAAGACAUGAAUUAAAUCUCUUAAACGAUGCUAAGAUUUCGAUCAAAUUAUUUAAACAAAUAAAAUUUUAGCCUAACAAUUAGGUUGAUUAGGGACCACAGCCAAAAUGACGAUAGGAAAAUAUACUGCUUUUGAAUGCAUCUGUUGGCUACAGUUGAGGAUGAACUUUUAACAUUUCGAAAGAGAAAGAUUAGCGGUUGAUCUCCUGUAUUUUAUAUGUGCAUAUCAUAUGAAGAGAGAGAGAAAGAGAGAGAGAGAGAGAGAGAUAUACCCGUCCUGCUGUUGAAGCAGAAGAUGGAGGAGCUGAAGCAGAAGCAAGCAGCAAACUGGUGGGAAGAUAUCAGAGAUGGUGGCUUCUUCGCCCACUAGCUCUGAAAAUUCAUCCCCUCUCCUCUCUCUUUAUCCUAGUAUGAGUGUGUAUGAGAAUGAAAAGGACAAUUCCCACUUACAUAAACCAAAAUAUAUACGGACAAGGAUUGUCUGCUCUCUACUUCCGGUGCUUUCUUCGUAUCUUCCUGUUUUGUGUGAUCACGGUUAAAUCACGUCAAUAUUUUAUAUUUUUUUUAUAAAUAUAAUAAAACAAAAAUGAAUAGUAAUAUAAAAUAUUGACGUGUCUUAACUAUGACCACACAAAUAAAAGAGCACGAAGAAAACACCGGAAAUAGAGAACAGACAAUCCUUGUCCAAUGUAUAUGGCCUCAUGGGAGUAGUAUAUAUAAUUAUAUAUAGUGGCAUGAUUAGUCUUUAGCCAAUGUCAGUCUCUGUAUUCUUCAAACCAGCAAUUUCUUUAUUCAACAACUAGAAUAAUUAAAAUGUAGAAACACGAAAUGUAAUAUGAUAUUUAUGCAUUUUAUUAUUGGUUUGAUCUCUAUGAAUUCUCUUUUUCCUAACAAUUAACAACUUAAUUCAAUAAUGUUAUUAUUUAUUAAAAAGGAAAAAAAAAUGAAGUAAUUAACUUUUUUUUUUCAUAUUUUUAACUAGAUGUAAAAGCUAUUAAACCUUAGAACCUAAACAAGUUCCUGCCCUCUAAUCCAAAUUUUCCUUCACUUUGUUGAGAUUCUGCUAAUUUCAUUUAGCCUUUCAUGUUUCUCUUUAAAAAAAAAAUCGUAACUUUGCACCUUUAACUCAAUUUUCCUUCAUUUCGUCGAGAUUCUACUAAUUCGUAAAAAAUGAACGGAAUACGUGACAUGGUAUACAUUUUGUUUAUGUGCAUCCGUUAAAGCUAAACAUCUUAUGGUUCAUUAACUUUAAUCAAAUUUGAGCAAUAAUCCAUUAACUAAAAAUUCAUUAUCAUUAGUCCCGCAACUCAUCAAAACGUAUAGUUAUGAUCAUUUUCGUUAACUUCGUGAGAAUUUUGUCAAAAUGAGUUAUGUUGGAAGGAUCAUUGUUACAAUUGAGAUCCCUCAACUCAUCAAAACUUCUAGCUAUGAUUUUUUCGUCAACUUCGUUAGAAUUUUGUUAAAAUGAGUUAUGUUUGAAUGAUCAUUGCUACAAUUGGGUUAAAGUUGAGGGAUUAUUGUUCCAAUUGAGUUAAAGUUAAGGGAUCAUUUUUCCAGUUAGAUUAAAGUUGAGGGAUCAUUUUUCCAGUUAGAUUAAAGUUGAGGGGCCAAGGGUAAUAAAUUUUUAGUUGAGGGAACAUAGCUGUACGUUUUGAUGAGUUAAAAGAUUAAUGAUAAUAAAUUUUUAAUUUAAGGACCAUUAUUCUAAUUGAAUUAAAGUUAAAAAAUAUUACUACAACUUAGACACAUAAAAAAAAAUCAUAUUAUAAAAUAACAUAUAUAAAGUUUCGCUUCGUAUUUUGAGCACAUUGAAAUCUCUAUAGCGAAAGAGUGAGUUGCUAGCUAUUGAAAUUCCCUAAGGUAUUGGUAAUUGUGUUUAAUUAAAAGAUAAAAAAAAAUUAAAUAAUUUUAUUGUCAAUUGAAUGAGUUGGUAUGCCAAACUUCAAUUUUGACCUCUCUUUGCUGUUUCAUUUAUUGGUCAAAACACCCCUCUUCCACAUCUCAUGCCUAUCUUCGGUCUCACUCGCGAGCAUAUCUGCAGUACUGACUCAGGGAAAGGACGCAGCUGACAACCCUCAAGGUUCAGAUCUCUCUGUUAUAGCUUUCUGUAAUUAAUUAAUUCAAUUAAGAGCUCUGUUUCUCCGUCUUUUUUUUUUAAUUUUUUUUAUCAGAUUAUCCCUGAUUUAUGCGUCUGUUUCUGAAUUUGUGAAUAACAUGGGAAUUUGUGUAAACUGCUCCUGAAUUUGUGAAGAAUAUGGGUGUUUUGGUUCUCAGAAAAUAUUUGUGAAAUUUUGGUUUAUGUUUCCGUCUCUGGGUUGAUCUGUUUGUAUUCAAGUUCUCAUUUUUUUCCCCCUCCAUGGAUGUAAUUUAAGGGUGUACUGCUUGAUUCCCGGGAAACUUUGGAAGGAAAAUGAUAGAAAUUGCAAUGCAACAUAUACACCAACUCUUUCUAUUUGUGAAUUUCUGUGUGUUUGGUUAGAACCUAAGGCCUCGUUUGGUCUCUAGGAUCGGAUUGGAAUGGUUGAAAUAACAAUGAAUCGUAUAAUUUUUCUUAUUAGUAAAUUGAUUUCUCAAUUUGGUAUGAUUGAGAUCUUCUCAUGCUGUAAUAUCAUAAAGGGUGACCCCAAGCCAACAAGGCUCUAAGGAGCGACCUUUCUGUUGCGCUAAGGCUCGCCCUCGCUCUAGUAAUGCCGUAGAAUAUGGAUAACUUGUUCCCUUAUGAUCUUUUUAAGUUUUUUUCCCAGAGUUGCAUAAUUUUGAUCAAGAACUAUUAUUUUUGUUGGGAUUGAGACCCAAAAAAAAUCCUUUUGCAGAUUAAAAUUCCGAAAGAAACUCUCGUAGGCAUCAAAUCGGCAACAGAAGUACGAAUUGAAGGCGGUAGUUGAAAUGAAGAAAGAAGGAGCCGAGGAAACAAGCAUGGAGAUAGUGAAGAAGUUUUUGGAGAAAGAAGGUGAAAUGGCAAUCGCCAUGGAUAGUCUGCCCGACAGGUUCUUUGAGCCCUUCAUCCUGAAAGGCAUUAACGUCGAUCUCCUUGAACCCGGACACAUUGUUUGCUCCUUCAAAGUACCCCCGCGUUUGGUGAACGGGGGCAAUUUCUUGCACGGUGGAGCCACAGCAACCCUUGUGGAUUUGAUAGGAUCAGCUGCAAUCCUCUCCUCUGGAGCUCUCAGUUCCGGAGUUUCGGUGGAGAUCAAUGUGUCGUACUUGGAUUCGGCUUAUCCUGGCGAGGAAGUUGAGGUCGAGUCCAGGACGUUACGUGUUGGGAAGACUGUUGGUGUUGCCAGUGUUGAGAUCAGGAAGAAGAAGACUGGGAAGAUUAUUGCUCAGGGCCGUCAUACCAAGUACCUUGCUGUUUCUAGCAAACUCUGAACAGCUAGGAAAUUGAACCAAGGCAUACUGUUCAGUCAGUGUUAAGAUUUUUCGACAUCGAAUAAUUUUUUCUGGAGUGAAUUGUAAUACAAGCAAUGCUCAGUCAAAUUCUCCGUGACUGAUACAAAUAGUUAAGAACAAUACAAUAUUUCACCAAAAGUUGUCGAAAACCAGAACAUUUAACUGCUUAAGCUUUUAGAUAAUAACAUGAUCCAAUCCUCAAAAUUGUAUUGCUCAAAUUUGUAUUCCUCAGACUGAUACAAUUGUUAAGAACCAGUAAAUGCUUAUAAAAAAUUCUCAAAAAACAGAACAGAUAAUCAGUUAACCAUUCGAUCACAACAUUCACUGAAUCACGAAAAGUUAACCGAAAUCAAGAAAACAACAUUGACCAUUUGAGUCACAAUUCGUCAAAAUCAUAUCCAUCGUCGUUAUUAUAUCCCUCAUCGUAAUUGUAUACUUCAUCAUAAUUGCAUCCAUUAUAUUCGUCGUUUGCAACAUGUGUAUCAUCGUCAUAGCCUUCUCCGGCUUCAGCCUCUUCACUGUACGUAUUUUCAUGUUCGAGCUCCUCAUCAGGACUAACUUCAAAAUGAAUCUUUUUCUGAUUUGACAGCUGUUUACCACUGCCGCAAUUAGACUCUUUGCGUUCUUCAAAUCCAGGUCCCUGAAAAACAGACGGAGAAAAAGGUCAGAUUAAGCAAAUUCAGGAUACAUUGACAAGUUCUGGCCGUUGCUCGUAAAAACAGACAUUCUAAAACCUCUUAGGAUUCAUAACUAGGAAUUACAUUGCAAAAUUAUUAUAUAUGGCCAAAAAAUUAUUAACCAUAUAACGAGAUAUAACACUUCCUAUUUCCUAAAGUCUUCUAUUAGCUGCUCGAUUAGCAAACAACCUGUAUAAAGAUCAUGGUUUCACAUAUUUAGGUUUUAUCCUGCCAUAGCUUGUACAACUUCGAUAGACCUUUAUUCCAUCAUACAAAAAUUGGUGUCUGCCGACUGACCAGAAAUAAACGAGUAACAUGUGACGACUGUCAAAGUUUGACAUACUAUUAGUCUACCAGGUUUGUUUGGUUUUUUUUAGUCUUUUGCAAUCUGCAUUAGGUUCACAGGCAACGAGACAUAUAAUGUUUGACAACAUAAUAUGCAAAUUGCAGAGCUAUGAGUGAAGCAAGAAUGAUUCUAAAAUAAGCCGGUGAAAAGAUACUUACAAGUUUCUAUUUUUGAAAUAAGCCGCAUGUGAAAAGAUACUUACAAGCUUUUCAUUCAAAAGCUCAAAGCAUGAAAGUUUUUGAACUCAGCCUCUGCAAGUAAAAAAGAAUACUAAGCCAAGUCUUUUAUCUGCAUUAUCACAGGCAAGACAAUAAUGUUGAUGAAUUAAGCUAUAUGAAGCAAGAAUGAUUCUAAAAUAAGCCGGUGAAAAGAUACUUCCAAGCUUUUCAUUUAAUUUCUUCAAAGCAUCAAAGUCGAUUUUUGAACUCAGCCUCUGCAAGAAAAAAGAAUGCCAUGUAAAUAAUUGUUGGAUAAGAUAUAAGUUGCAUCAGCUAAUUCCCUUACCUCCUUGUUAUUUAUCAGCUAAUUCCCUUACCUCUGGAGGAAUAAUACUUAAACGAAGCAUAUCCAUCAGCUAAUUCCCUAACGUCCUUGUUAUUUAUCACAGUAGAAACUUUGGCGGUUUUUUCUGCAGGUGCAGCUUUCUUGGCUUUUCUGGCUCGUUUUCUACUCUUUCCCUGCCAAAUUUAUCCAUUGUAUGUAGAAAAUUAGAAAUCGAUAAGUAAGGCACAAUGCUGGCAGUAAAACAAAGACAGAUAAACGAAAGGGAAAAACUAAAAAAUAAAUCACAUGCAGAUAAGAUAAAAAAAUAUUAAAAAAGUUAACCAUCACCCAAUACUAAUUUGUAAGCAGGUGUGACUCCAAUAACAGUUGAGAAUUUAGGCACAAACAACGAAGAAUGGUGAAUAAGCUGAAUGAAUCUUCCGAGCAUACACUUUAGAGAACAAUGCACACAUGACAGUCUAGAAAAAUGCAAAGAUAAACUCAAAUGAAGUAAAUAUUGGGAUAAACCACAUAGCUAAGCUAGCCAUAUCCCAUAAUAUAAUGAAUAAAUUCAAGGUUUUGGUUAGAAGGUCCUACUUUGAAAGGAAUGAUUUUACUGCAACGAAAUGCAUAAAAAGUGAAAGCAAGACACCAGUUCCAAGACAUGUCCUCUAUCAUAACUGAAAUUGCCUAUUUAGUGGGGCUUAAGGACUCAGAAUUUGUUGUUUUAUGUGCCUAGGAUCUUAAAAGAAGUAUUCUUCGUAGAUUAGCCAUAGUUUCAAAGACUAGGACUAAAAACAAGUUAAUUGUCUGGAAGACAAAGGGUUUGUUGCAAAUUUCAGUUAGCAGCAGGCUUUUUGAAUUUGGGGGCUAAAAGUUAGAGAAACCAGAAAGAAAAAACAGGUCAAAGAUUAGGGCUUUUGAAUCAAGUACGAAAAGAGAGAGAGUACAAAAGUUCUAGAAAGAGAGAGUUGAGUUAAGAACUUCCAAAAAAUCACUGAGAUAACGAGUAAAGGAAGAAUGAAGAGGCAAAGAGUGGAAGGAAGAAAACCAGAAACCCAUACAAGGAAAAUGUAUACUAGUAUGGUCAUGAUCAAAUGCAAAAUCCCCUCAAUUGUUCACUCUAAACAGUCGUGGCCAUAAAAAAACAUAGACGAAAAAUAAGAACAAAACCAUCGAAUAAACAGAAACUACGAAAUUGCCUAACAUUGCACCAAAUCCUUGUGAAAACAAAUGUGUCAAAACUUAUAGACUUGCAAAGGCAUUACCUGAUCGUAGUCCUUGUUAAGUACUUCCCAAAUUAAUCUUUUAAACAGUGCCGCCUCCUUGCUGUUAAGGUAUCCAGCAACCUAAAAAACAGAAGCAUGAGUUCUUCCAUAUCGAAAUUCACAAACGAAAAAUAGAAGCAACAAUCACAUACGAAUCCAAAUCGCUAUACGGACUACCAAGUGGGCUAUGAUGGAAGUGUUCUCUGAUGGGCAGGUGGGUGUAACUUUCAGGAUCUCUGCCUUUGUGUUUGAUUAAAUUUAUCCCCUUAAUCAUCAGACAUGGAAAAUGUGGUCGAUUGUCAUGAACCAAGAACUGAACUUUUCACAAUAACUAUGAAAUAAAAUUCCAACAACGUCGCAUGCAAACUAAAAAUUCUUAUUAUCAUCGAAAUAUUUGAGCACCUACCUUAAAUUCAUCAACUUAUGGAGAAUGGGCAGACACCAUUCGACGAAAACAAUUCAGAAAAUUGAAAAAAAAUAAUAAGAAAGCAAUGCCUGCUUUAUCAGCAUACCUCGGAGUCGUCGAUAUCUGAGAGGCUUUCUGAGACAUCGCCAUCCGCAGUUGACAUUGCAGCUUGCCGCCUUCUUUUGUAAACUCUGGGUUCUUUUGAAUUUUAUGUAAUUUUAGGUCUUGGGUUUUCCAGUAUUCAUGGAACUUGAAUUUAUAUCGACAGUAAUGUCGGCGACCAAACAAGAACCGACCUAGUUCGGUUUCCCUUUUAGUAUCAAAUCAGUCCAGAUUUGGUUCUGAUUUUUUAAGUUAAACGCGUUAACAAGUUAAAUGUUAAAUUUGAUUUCUAUUUUUUACUGUUUAUUUUGAUGCCAUGAUCUGUUGAUCAAUACAGAAAUUUUAUUUUUUUAAACAUCCUUUUUAUGAGUAAAAUGUAAGUGAAAAAGAUAAUAAAAGCCCAAAAUCUAAAGGGCUAGGCCCAAAAUAGUAGGGGAAUUUAAUCAAGAAACCAGAAAAACUCAGCCCAAUCUGAAAACCAUGUGGUUUUUUUUUGGGUGAACAAAACCAUGUGGCAAGCACAAACGCCAUGCAUUACAUCUUACAUUGUAGAAACGUAUUCCUACUGCUGGAACCAAAUUCGCGCACAAUCAUUGGUAUACGAAUAAUCGUUGGAAUCUCAUGAACACCGAUAAAUAGAAGAAUUGUUUGGAGUAUAUAACUGAAUUCGAAAAUGAUUGCCUACAUAUCUCCUCGUCAAAGAGGAAGAAUCAAAUCACGAGCAGUUCUGCGUUGUAUGAGCAUGUAUGCGUUAGAUGAGAUAUCAGAUAUACGUUAUAUCUCCUUGGAGUGAAUCCUAACUUGAAUAUUUAUAGAUGAUAUCUUUCAACUCUUUGUCUUGCUUUGCAUGAAUGCUUAUGCAUAUGUAAAGCGACAUAUCAAAGCCAAUAUUCUCGAGCUAUAAUCAUGCAAAUAUAAAGUAUAAAACAAUAAUUCAUUUAGCAAUCAAACACCUAAAGCGUCAUUCACAUCAAAUAAAAUGAUAUGAGCAAUAAUUAAAGCUAAGUAGGUAAAAGAUCAUCUUACCAUUAUGUUGUUCUCCUUAAAAUUUCAUUAUUUCAAUUUGAACUCUUUUGUAUAUGUUUCUCCAUACAUUAGUUCUUGUUCUUUAUUUUUAGUGUGGAUCAGAUUCAAAACUCUUUUUCCCACACCAACUCACUUUUUUUUUCUCAUUAACCGACUCCCUCUCACCACUUUCUUUCUUUUCAACUCUCUCCCAACCUUCCAAAACCUCAUUAUUUUCCUUCUCUUCUUCCAGUUCUUUCCCUUCCAGUAGGCUAUUCUCACACCUUCACUUCCCACAAACACCCCCUUCUUUCUCUUUGUCACAGAUGACAAACUACAAAACAACACUUCUCUCUCUCUCUCUCAGUUGUUUUCAUUUUUAUUAACUUGUUGCUCACACUCUUUUCUUUUCUUUUCCUUGCCUCACACAACUCCCUCGACACCUCUCCUUCUCUUUCCUUCUUUUAUGCUUUUCUUCAACCCCUUAUCUUCUUUAAUAUAGCUGAAAAUUUGCAUAUGUAACGGGAGUAGAAUUGGUGAGCAACAUAAAAUGGAGAUGUAGGCCAAAGAGGCUGGCUGAGAAGGCCAGCUCAACCGUACAUAAGCUGUUCAAACUGAUGCAUAGGCCAACAUACAGAUUAGGUUGUCGAGCUUCUUGGAUAAUUUAUAGAAGAGAUGAUAAGGAACAAUUUUUGUGAAUGAAGUGUUUUUGUUUGAUCACAGUAAGUUGGAUUUUUAAGCUCCAAACAUGACUGUAUGGUUUUCCGCCGAUUUUCAAGGCUGUAUAGUAUUUUGAUAAUCUGGAAUGAAUGGACAGUUAGAUCUUUCUGAGACUUUGAUAUGUUAAGUUAGAGAGAAUAAGGAACGAUUUCUAUGAAGAAAAUAUUUUGAUAUGAGUAAGAGAAAAUGUAGUUUCGAAGCUCACAACAGGCCUGACGGGUUGACAGACGAAUGCUGAGCAGUCACUGAUUAUACCUGAGUUUCUGAAGUUAUACAGCUCCUAUGGAUCUCAUAUUUGGAUAUGUUGUAUUUAACGAGUUAACGAACAACUUUCUUGAAGACGGAUUUUUGAUUUGAAGUAUAGAAAAUGGUAAUUUGAUCUGCAAAACAGAUAUGACGAAUUUCUGGUUCUUGAAAUUCUUUCUCUUGAUAACUAGAAGAAAAUGAUGAUGAGUUUGGUGGAGAGAUUUGUUGGGUAAGCUCUUAUGCAUUUUUUGGGAUUUGUAUGUGAUUUCUUUCUCCGGAUUCUCGUUGAAAACUAGAAGGAGAUUUGGUGGUGCUUCACAGAGUUGGAUAAUGGUGUUUCACUAGAACUUGAUAACACAAACAUUCACAUAAACACACAGUAUAGGAGUGGUUCGUCAAAGUGACUACAUCCAUUGAGGUUUGCUUUCAUUUGUAUUUCACUAUAUAUGAGAGACUUACAAAUACAAUGAAAGAUGACUUAAAACGUUUACAUAAGGUAAAAUAAAUGGAUGACGAAAGAGGAAUGGUCUGAGAAAGAGAACAUUCUUUUUGCUAGUGUGUUCUUGCUGGUGUGGUGUUCUCCCUUUUUUUUCCUCGUGUCCUUCUUCUAGUUCUUGCUCCUUCCUUUAUAGGGAUCAUAUGAGAUCUUCCUUCUCACAACGUGUACAAUCUAACUUGAGGUUAAAAGCUCCGUAGUGUCCCAAUAGAAAGACACAUUGUGCAAAUUAUUAACCAUUAAUAAUGAUAUGUUAAACUUAUCAUUAAUAAUGAUAUGUGUCCCAAUAACAAAGCAAAAUGUGUUAGCUAAUCCUGAACAAAAAAUAUCAUGUAAGAUGGAUGCAUGUCUAAGGCCACGUUAAAGUUUAUCUUAUGGUGAGCUUGUUGGAACAAAACAUAUGGUAACUCUACAAAUUGGUAGGAUAUCCGGAUGGUGAAUUAAAACCUCCAAAACCCAUGGUUAUAAUCACACCUCAAACUAAAACCAAAAGAGUAGCAAAGUAUUUAAUUGCUAGUGGCACGCAAAUGAGAAAUACAAAGCCUAACAAAUCAAUCUACAAAUAAAGUGAAACAUAUAGGUAUUUGUUAACUAAUGAAAAAAAGAACUUGGUAUAUCAAACUUUAGCAUAAAACACAAAUUAAAAGUACUUCGACACUUUUAUAUAUAUACCCACUUUUUAAAAUACGGAGUAUUACACUUGCACAUGCCUCUUAUAUAAAGUUGUUUUAGUCCUUUCACGAUCAAGCUUAACAUAUACGACAUUGUUCUUCUUUUAACUCCAAGCAUGAACUUUCCCCUCCUAAAAACUUAGGCUCCAAAUCAUUUCAAUUGUUGCCUAAUUUUUUAGGGAGGAAAGCUCAUAUUUGGAUCCAAAAGUAGAAAAUGUUAUGGAUGUUAGACCUGCAUAGUGAAAAGAUCGUAACACUCUAUAACAAAUAUACUUAUAAUUUUGAGUUUGUUUUUGUAUUGCAUGUGGUUUAAUAUUCUAGUAAAUAAGUCAUUGAGUUUCCACCUAGGUGUCUCAGGUUCGAGAUUCUCCCCUCAUAAAUUAUUUCAAAAAAGGUAACAUAUUGAAAUUUGAAUAAAAGUUAAGGUGACAAAUACAAAAUUUGCCUUUUCUUCUCUAUUAUGAAACUGGACCAUCAACAUUAAGGCUCAAUUUAUAGACCCAAAAAGGCCUUAUUAAAUUAUAAUUAUUAAAAUGUGUAUUAUAUAAAAGGAAGGGGUCCAAAACAAGUACAAGGGUGCACAAAGCGAUAAAAGGAGCAUGCGGAAAUCAUUUCCCGACAUUUAUCACCUUCCUUCUACUCUAAUGCCAGUGAGCAGUGAUUGAGUGACAUUUACAGGAGAAGGCGCAGGGUCAAUCCAGGGAGUGUUAGCACCACUUGCAUUGCUGCCUCCCGGCUGAUAGUUGAGGCGAACAUUACUAUCCUUGGAUGCAGUUGAUGGGGUAUCAUCCCCCACCAAAAAACUAUUUGUUGACAAUGUUAUUACAUCUUUAAAAUCAUAAUCUGUCAAAUAACUUGGCUUCGACAUGACAGUGCCUAAGUCAAUGUCUCCAGAGAGCAUUGCAGCCACGCGUGACAUAGAUGGCCUCGCCAUCGGUGAUCCCUGCGUGCACAAGAGAGCUGCUCGUAUCAAUCUAGUUGCUUCAGUUUCAUCAAACUCUGUCAAUCUUGGAUCCACCAGCCCCAGAGUUUGGUCGUUUUCAUGUAGAGUCCAUACCUGAAAAACAUUAUGCCACGGUCAAAGGAAAGUAUAAAUAAGUUUUUCACAACAAUGCCAAAAUGAAGCUAGGGGGAUGCAAUUCCUACCCAUUCAAGAAGAUAAAUCUUUUUUGGAUCCAAGUUAUUGUAAGAGUUUGGUCUCCCGCUGAGGAUCUCCAAAACGACGACUCCAAAACCAAACACAUCGACCUUCUCUGUCAAAUGUCCAAACAAUGCAUACUCCGGUGCCAAAUAGCCUCUGCAAUGCAAGAUAAUCAAAUGGUUGCACAAUGUUGCUUGAGAUCAUUAGAGGCAUUAUUAACAUGUGUGUUAAAAUUUCAUGCAAGUAUAAAUGUGUGUGGCCAUAAUGUAUGUAUCCUCUAGAAAAACAAUAAAGGAUGGCUUACAUUGUCCCUGCAACCCGGGUGCUGAUGUGGGUUUUCUCGUCAUCAUAAAGCUUUGCUAGUCCAAAAUCUGAUAUUUUUGGGGAGAGUUCUGCAUUGAGCAAAAUAUUACUCGCUUUGACAUCUCGAUGUACAAUCCUUGGCCUUGACUCCUCAUGAAGGUAAGCAAGUCCUCUUGCUGUUCCCAACAAUAUAUUGAAUCGAGUAGGCCAAUCAAGGUGCAAGUUACUUGU
rnacentral:lncRNA from 1 species